rfam:Hordeum vulgare subsp. vulgare, WGS project CAJW01000000 data, contig: morex_contig_45847
CUUAUACUCUCUCCGUUUCAAAAUUCUUAUCUUAAGUUUGUCUAGAAAUAGAUGUAUCUAAAUACUAAGAUAUGGCUAGAUAUAUUCAUACAUAGAUAAUUCUAAGACAAGAUUUUUGGAACGGAAUGAGUAUUUA